UUAAGUUGAAUAGUACAAGUAAAAUUGACUUUUACCUCGUAGCUAAGGUAUGACUCAGAUAUAAAAAAAAAAAAUCUUGAAAAAAAGAGUAUUUUUCAAUAUCCAAAAACAUGUUUUCCGAUAGAAAAAAUCUAAUAAUAAAACUAGUAAUUUACUUGCUACAUUCAGAAUCUAAAAUAUAUGAUAAUGCCCAUAUUUAAUUUUUGCAAAUGACUCCACUUAGAAUUGUUUUUGGUUUGCAGUAAUUUAUCAUCGCGUAAAGUGUAGAAAUAUAAACUAAAUACAUACA